UACAGAGGUCUCAAGCGUUGUUCGGAUUCAUUGGGCGUAAAGGGUGCGUAGGUGGCGGGGUAAGUCAGGUGUGAAAUCUCGGAGCUCAACUCCGAAACUGCACUUGAUACUGCCUUGCUUGAGUACUGGAGAGGAGAUUGGAAUUUACGGUGUAGCAGUGAAAUGCGUAGAUAUCGUAAGGAAGACCAGUGGCGAAGGCGAAUCUCUGGACAGUUACUGACACUGAGGCACGAAGGCCAGGGGAGCAAACGGG
rnacentral:rRNA from 1 species